GAUGAAGAACGUAGCGAAAUGCGCUAAGUAAUGUGAAUUGCAGAAUUCAGUGAAUCAUCGAAUCUUUGAACGCACAUUGCGCCCCUUGGUAUUCCGAGGGGCAUUCCUGUUCGAGCGUCAUUAUAACCCCUCAAGCUCAGCUUGGUGUUGGGGCCUGCUGCACUGGCAGCCCUUAAAAUCAGUGGCGGCGCCAUCUGGCUCUAAGCGUAGUAAUUCUUCUCGCUAUGGAGUCCUGGUGGAUGCUUGCCAUCAACCCCCAAUUUUUCUAUGGUUGACCUCGGAUCAGGUAGGGAUACCCGCUGAACUUAAGCAUAUCAAUAAGCGGAGGA
rnacentral:misc_RNA from 1 species